CACUGAAAUUGUACUAUUUCCGGAAUCAAGAAGCUGUUGUUCGCGUCUGAGCACGUUGUAAUUUAUGCAAAUAGUUGGUUUAUUAUGGAUUUUGAUUUUGAUAUUGAGUGAUAAAAUCGUCGAUUACUUGCUAGUUCAACUUUGAAUCAUAGUUUAUUAUUGUUUAUUGGAAAAUGGUUGGAUCACGAGUGUAUGUUGGUGGUCUCCCCUUUGGAGUAAGAGAGAGAGACUUGGAAAAGUUCUUCAAAGGUUUUGGAAGAAUCAGAGACAUACUUAUCAAGAAUGGAUAUGGUUUUGUUGAAUUUGAAGAUUACAGAGAUGCAGAUGAUGCUGUGUACGAGCUAAAUGGAAAAGAACUAUUGGGUGAAAGGGUGGUGGUGGAGCCAGCGAGGGGCAUCGAUCGCAGCGCUGACCGGUACCGGCGCGGCGACCGGCACUACGAGCGCUCCGGCGGCGGCCGCUCGCGAUACGAUGAUGACUACAAUUAUAGAUACGGACCGCCAACGCGCACCGAGUAUCGACUUAUCGUCGAGAAUUUGUCUAGCCGCAUUAGCUGGCAGAAGGUGGCCAGUCCGGUCGAUGUGCGUUGCGCUGUGUGAUGUGGUCUCAGGCGAUGUAGAGUUGCGCCGCGUCGUCCGGCGCCCGCAUGCGAGCAGCCCGCCAGGAUUUGAAAGACUAUAUGCGUCAAGCUGGCGAAGUGACUUACGCUGACGCCCAUAAACAACAUAGGAAUGAAGG
rnacentral:misc_RNA from 1 species